CGCACCUUGCGCUCUCGGGUUAUUCCUGGGAGCAUGCUUGUUUGAGUGUCGCGUACCUCUCAACCCCGCCUUGUUUGUAUGAACAAGGUUGCAGGGAUUGGACCAUGGCGCGUGCGAUUCAGUUCGCUGCGCUGAAAUGCAACAAGCUGGAUCCUUAGGUCGUGCGGCUUGACCCGUUGUUGUAACUUUAAUUCAAUGGGAACGCAUGAGAAAAGGAAGGGGCUUUUGAAAUGACUUCCGAGUCGAAAGUGCAUUUUGACCUCAAAUCAAGUAGGACUACCCGCUGAACUUAA
rnacentral:misc_RNA from 1 species